GACGAACGCUGGCGGCGUGCUUAACACAUGCAAGUCGAACGGAAAGGCCCUGCUUGCAGGGUACUCGAGUGGCGAACGGGUGAGUAACACGUGGGUGAUCUGCCCUGCACUUCGGGAUAAGCCUGGGAAACUGGGUCUAAUACCGGAUAGGAGCCAUUUUUAGUGUGAUGGUUGGAAAGUUUUUUCGGUGUAGGAUGAGCUCGCGGCCUAUCAGCUUGUUGGUGGGGUAAUGGCCUACCAAGGCGGCGACGGGUAGCCGGCCUGAGAGGGUGGACGGCCACAUUGGGACUGAGAGACGGCCCAGACGCCUACGGGAGGCAGCAGGGGGGAAUAUUGCACAAGGGGCGCAAGCCGGAUGGAGCGACGCCGCGGGGGGGAGGACGGCCUUCGGGUUGUAAACGCCUUUCGCUAGGGACGAAGCUUUUUGUGACGGUACCUAGAUAAGAAGCACCGGCUAACUACGUG
rnacentral:rRNA from 1 species